ensembl:lncRNA
CCUGACAUCAACGCGGAACUGAAGGAUGAAAUCAACAAAUGCAGAAUGUGCUCCCAGACAGGCUGGUGGCGAGUGGGUUCCAGGGCACCCAGGCCCUCCCCAGAGCUGCUGAACCACAGAUGUCUGGGUCACCACAGUGGACCAGGAUUCCAGGAUGCCUUGGGGUCUACCCAGACUUUGGAGAGAUUUACACAGGGGGCCAGCAGAUUUUUUGUCACAUCCACCUCAAAGGGUCCUAGAGGAAUGAGAGCUGCAGAACUCUCGGACCUUUCAAACUGCUCCUAGAGGUGGGCAGAUUUAUGUUAUUAAAGUUUCCUUAUAGACAAAUGUCAAAGCCAUCUAAUUCACAUUUUCAUGUUGGAGCCAGUGAGUGUCCUCGAGGACCCAUAUGCUGCACCCUGGGCAGAUGUAUGAAGAAACUGGAGAUGAGAAUGCCUUGGCUAUUUGUCUUCUGUUAUGGUUUAUAUCUAGAUGCCCACCCCCCAAGCCUCAUGUGCUCAGGCAGACCUUUUGGAAGGUGACUGGAUCAGGCAGGGUACUAUACUUGUAGGUGGAUUAAUCCACUGAUGUGUUUAUAGCUAAACGUGCUGUUAGGAGGUGGGGUCUGGUUGGAAUAAAUAAUAAAUGAAUAUGUUCUUUCAUGAGGACAAAUAUCAUUCUGAGGAGCAAUUGUAAUUACAAAUUUACUUUCAGCUAUUCCAUAUAUUGGUACUACCCUGACUGAAUGAAUCUGAGGAAGGUUUUCAGUAGACAAAGCAACCUUAUCAUGAUUCUUUGCUUUCCACUUUAUUUUAUCAUUUAUCAUUGCAGGUUUAACCAUAAUUCACCUUUUAUUCCUUCGCAAAACUGAAUCAAACAAUCCCUCGGGAAUAAACUUGGAUUCAGAUAAAAUUCCAUUCCACCCAUUUUAUUCAUCAAAGAUAUUUUAGGGCUCCUACUAAUAUUUUUUAACUGUACUAAUUCUUGUUUUGUUUUCACCAGAUCUUUUAGAAGACCCAGAGAAUUAUAUUUACCUAGAUAAAUAUAUACCUACAAACCCCCUUAAUACACUCCCGCAUAUUAAACCAGAAUGAUAUUUCUUAUUCACAUAUGCUAUUCUACAUUCAAUUCUUAAUAAACUAGGAGUAUUAACUCUAGUAUUUUCUUUCUUUCUUUUUUUUUUUGGUACCGGGGAUCGAACUCAGGUCCUUGCUCUUGCGCAGCAGGCUGCGAAACCACUGAGCUAAAUCCCCAGCCAACUCUAGUAUUUUCAAUUCUCAUCCUAGCAAUUAUUCCAGCUCUUCACAUAUCAAAACAACAAAGUAUAACAUUCCGACCCUUUAGCCAAUGUUUAUUCUGAAUUUUAGUAGCUAACCUUCUUGUUCUUACUUAUUUGAAUUGGAGGGCAACCAGUUGAAUACCCAUUUAUUAUAAUUGGAUAACUAAUAUCAAUUUUAUAUUUCUGUAUCAUUUUAAUCCUUAUACCUCUUACAAGUAUAGAAAACAAAUUACUCAAAUGAAGAGCCCUUGUAGUAUAGUCAUUACUUUGGUCUUGUAAACUGAAAAUGGAGACCCUGUCUCUCCAGGACAAAAUUCAAAGAAGAAGCACAAAGCUCCACCCAAAGCUGAAAUUCUUAUUAAACU